rnacentral:misc_RNA from 1 species
GAAAUGCGAUACGCAAUGCGAAUUGCAGAAUUCCGCGAGUCAUCAGAUCUUUGAACGCAGCCCGCGCCGAAGGGAUAUCCUUUCGGCAUGUUUGUUUCAGUGUGUUUGGUUGACAUCAUACAACCAAAUGCGAUUGAAUUUUUACUUCAUUGAAAAAAUUCUCUCGUGAAAAAUGAAUACGUGGAGGCUAUAUCCUUCCGACGGAGUGGUCACUGUUCACUCAGUGAUUUCGUUGGGCACAAAGUGGUGUAUAGCCAAAUUAAUAAAUAAUAAACAUGUAUUUUAAUUUAAAAAUUCUUCACAAUCGGCACCUGAAAUCAAGCAAGAUUACCCGCUGAACUUAA